AUUGAACGCUGGCGGUAUGCUUAACACAUGCAAGUCGAACGGUAACAGGCCUUCGGGCGCUGACGAGUGGCGGACGGGUGAGUAACGCGUAGGAAUCUGCCUCAUAGUGGGGGACAACGUGGGGAAACUCACGCUAAUACCGCAUACGCCCUACGGGGAAAGCGGGGAUCUUCGGACCUCGCGCUAUGAGAUGAGCCUGCGUUAGAUUAGCUAGUUGGUAGGGUAAAGGCCUACCAAGGCGACGAUCUAUAGCUGGUCUGAGAGGACGAUCAGCCACACUGGGACUGAGACACGGCCCAGACUCCUACGGGAGGCAGCAGUGGGGAAUAUUGGACAAUGGGCGCAAGCCUGAUCCAGCAAUACCGCGUGUGUGAAGAAGGCCUUAGGGUUGUAAAGCUCUUUCAGUUGAAAAGAAAAGUACGUGACUAAUAAUCACGACUCAUGACGGUAUCAACAGAAGAAGCACCGGCUAACUACGUGCCAGCAGCCGCGGUAAU
rnacentral:rRNA from 1 species